UCGGUAUUCCUCUGAAAUUGCCGUCCAGUCCAGACGUGAAAGCUAAAAUUCCUCCGUCCGGUUGUCUCUCUCUCGGCGAAACCCAAACCCUAACCGUAACUGAGAGAGAGAGAGAGAGAGAGAGAGAGAGUAUGGAUCAGUCAUUCUUGCUAAUGCUGUCGAAUCUGCUGCAGCUCCAUAACCACCUAGACCCAACCUCCUCCCUGCUCUCCGACACCUACUCGCCGCCAGCAUCCACCAUGUCUUCCGCCUCCUCCCCCACCUCUCUCCUCGCCUCCAGCACCGCCGCCCCCCUCCUCUUCUUCACCAUCGCCUCCGUCCUCUCCUACCUCGCCACCACCGCCUCCUCCCGCCCUUCCUCCUCUCCCUCCUCCCUUCCCGCCGCCGCCGCCUCCGACCCUAACUCUGAAUUCUCCGUCGCCGCCUUCCGCGCCCUCUCCACCGAGCACAUCUGGGCCAUGGAAGCCCCUCUCCGCGACGCCCAGUGGCGGUCCUCCUACGGCCUCUCCUACCCCGUCUUCACCACCGUCGUCGACAAGCUCAAACCCUACAUAGCCCAAUCCAACCUCUCCCUCCCCUCCGAUUACGCCGUCGCCAUGGUCCUCUCCCGCCUCACCCACGGCCUCUCCGCCCAAACCCUAGCCUCCCGCUACUCGCUCGACCCCUACCUCAUCUCGAAGAUCACCAACAUGGUCACUCGCCUCCUCGCCACCAAGCUCUACCCCGAAUUCAUCAAAAUUCCCGUCGGUCAGCGCCGCCUCCUCGACUCCACUCGCGCCUUCGAGGAGCUCACCUCGCUCCCCAACCUAUGCGGCGCCAUUGACGCCACUGCCCUAAAGCUCCGCCGAAUCCCCUCCGACCAAAACCCCGCCGCCUAUCUCUGCCGCCACGGGUACCCCGCGGUUCUUCUUCAGGUCGUCGCCGAUCACAAAAAGGUUUUCUGGGACGUCUGUGUUAAGGCUCCGGGCGGGUCCGACGACGCCGCCCAUUUGAGAGACAGUACCCUAUACGAUCGGCUUAUUUCGGAAGACAUUGUUUGGGACAGGGUUAUGAAUGUGAGGGGGCAUCCAGUGAGACCUUAUAUAGUUGGGGAUUGGUGUUUCCCUUUACUGUCCUUCUUGAUCACUCCUUUCACUUGGAACGGCACUGGCACGCCGGCACAGAAUGAAUUUGAUAUUGCCUUGAUGAAGGGGAGGAAGGUGGUGGAAGAAGCCAUUGGCUUGCUUAAGGGGAGGUGGAAGAUUCUUCAAGACUUGAAUGUGGGCCUGAACCAUGCCCCUCAGACCAUUGUUGCUUGCUGCGUUUUGCAUAAUCUGUGUCAGAUUGCUAGGGAGCCCGAGCCGGAGCUCUGGAAGGAGCCCGAGGAGUGCGGGCCGCCACCGAGACUGCUUGAGAGUGAGAAGUCAUCUUGUUACCAUGGAGAGAGCAUGAGGCAGGCCUUGGCUGAUGAUUUAUAUCAAAGACUCCCCAGAUAAGAGAACUGACUACUUGCAGGACAACAACUUUAUUUUCUCCUCAUUGCCAGGCUAUGCGCAGGACAAUAGGCCUUUUGUUUUUCCCUCGUUGCCAAGCUAUGCACGGGGCAACCGGCUUCGUUUUCUCUUCAUUACAGGACCAUGUGCGGGGCAACAAGUUUGUUUUCUCUUUGUUAUCGGGCCAUGUGCGGGGCAAUGAGCUUUGUUUUCUCUUCGUUACCGGGCCAUGUGCGGGGCAACGUUCGUGUGUAUAUGCUUGCUGGAAUUGUGGGCAACGUCUGUAAUUUGAAAGAAUAUCAAUAUUUUAUUUCCACAAUUCGACAUGGCGCCUACGUUCGCAAUUUGAAAGAAUAUCAAUAGUUUGUUUUCGCGGUUUGGCGUAACGCCUAUGUUCGCAAUUUGAAAGAAUAUCAAUAUUUUGUUUUCGUGGUUCGGCAUAACGCCUACGUUCGUAAUUAAAUAAUAACAAUAUUUUAUUUUUACGGUUCGGCGUGACGCCUACGUUGCAAUUAAACAAUAUUUUAUUUUCGCAGUUCGACAUAAUGCCUACGUUCACAAUUAAAGAAUAAUAAUAUUUUUUUUUCGCGAUUUGACAUAACGUCUACGUUCGCAAUUAAAGAAUACUAAUAUUUUGUUUUCGCGGUUCGGCGUAAUGCCUAUGUCUGCAAUUAAAGAAUAACAAUAUUUUAUUUUCGCAGUUUGGCGUAACGCCUACAUCCGCAAUUAAAGAAUAAUAUUUUAUUUUUGUAGUUUGGCAUAACGCCUGCAUCCGCAAUCAGAGAGAGUAUUUUAUUUUUGUGGUUCGACAUAAUGCCUACGUUCGCAAUUAAAGAAUAAUAAUAUUUUGUUUUUGUAGUUCGGCAUAACGCUUACAUUUGCAAUCAGAGAGAGUAUUUUAUUUUCGUGGUUCGGCGUAACGCCUAUGUCUGCAAUUAAAGAAUAAUAUUUUAUUUUUGCGGUUUGGCAUAACACUUACAUCCGCAAUCAAAGAGAGUAUUUUAUUUUUGCGGUUUGGCAUAACGCCUACGUCUGUAAUUAAAGAAUAAUAAUAUUUUAUUUUCGAAGAUCACCAACAUGGUCACUCGCCUCCUUGCCACCAAGCUCUACCUCGAAUUCAUCAAAAUUCUCGUCGGUCAGCACUGCCUCCUCGAAUCCACUUGUGCCUUCGAGGAGCUCACCUCGCUCCCCAACCCAUGCGGCACCAUUGACGCCAUUGCCCUAAAGCUCCGUUGACUCCUCUCCGACCAAAACCCUGUCGCCUAUCUCUGCCGCCACGGGUACCCCGCGGUUCUUCUUCAGGUCGUCGCCGAUCACAAGAAGGUUUUCUGGGAUGUCUGUGUUAAGGCUCUGGGCGAGUCCGCCGCCACCGCCCAUUUGAGAGAUAGUACCCUAUACAAUCGGCUUAUUUCAGAAAACAUUGUUUGGGACAAGGUUAUGAAUGUGAGGGGGCGUCCAGUGAGGCCUUAUAUAGUUGGGGAUUGGUGUUUCCCUUUACUGUCCUUCUUGAUCACUCCUUUCACUUGGAACAGCACUGGCACGCCAGCACAGAAUGAAUUUGAUAUUGCAUUGAUGAAGGGAAGGUGGUGGAAGAAGCCAUUGGCUUGCUUAAGGGGAGGUGGAAGAUUCUUCAAGACUUGAAUGUGGGCCUGAACCAUGCCCCUCAGACCAUUGUUGGUUGCUGUGUUUUGCAUAAUCUGUGUCAGAUUGCUAGGGAGCCCGAGCCGGAGCUCUGGAAGGAGCCGGAGGAGUGCGGGCUGCCACCGAGACUGCUUGAGAGUGAGAAGUCAUCUUGUUACCUGUCACGAGAACAGAAAAGCUAUGGUUGUGGUGAAAAUUUUGAGCUAAGGAUCGGUUAUUUCCUAUAUGUAAUUCCUAGUAUUUUAUUUCGUUGCAUUUGUUUACUUUCCGGCUAGAUAGUUUGUUAUGGUUUACUUUCCAGCUAGGAAGGUUGUUAUGGCAGAAUCUGCCAGAUGUCUAAUAGGACAAAAAGGUUUGUUAGAGGGGGAGUGAUCCUGUGUGGCAGCACUCUCGGCUAGGCUAUAUAAGCCUAUCCUUUCUUCUGUAACGGCAUUAAAGAAUUCAAUCAAAGAAUCUGUUAUCCUCUCUCGUACUUCUCUUUCUCCCUUCACUUCUCGUCUACAUUUCCCUCCUCUUUCUUCCUCUCUAUUAGUCGCGGCCUAGGUUCACACUGAACCAAGGAAGCUGCCGGUUGUCACAGCAGUGCCGUGACAUUACCAUGGAGAGAGCAUGAGGCAGGCCUUGGCUGAUGAUUUAUAUCAAAGACUCCCCAGAUAAGAGAACUGUUUUGUCUCCUUUAGAGAUCUUGUCGUAAAGCAGCAGCACAGGCUGGGAGGCAGGUUACUACACAUAACUGUUCUGUUUGUUGGUAGCUUUUUUGACAGUCCACUAGCAAUGUAGACGGUGUCUUCACCUGGCUUCUAUCUUGAAUAGAUAAGCAGAGACUGGAAUGUGUCUUAUAUCAGAAAUAGACUGUAUGUACCCCUGAACUGGUAUUGAACUAUACUGUUAAUGAUUUUUGAGCC